rnacentral:lncRNA from 1 species
AGAAAUGCAGUAUAGACUAAGAAGUGACUCCUAGGUCGUCUCUCAAGGACCAAAUGUGGUUCGAGAAUUAGGUCAGACACGCAGGGGGUUGUGAAAUUGGUUUUGUUUGUGAAUGCAACUGACGAAAUUAAAAAUAAAAAUUAAACACAUUCGAACAUCAUAAAAAGCGUUAAAGAGAGUAAAAAUGCUAAACCAAAUACUAGACUAAACAAAUAUCUAAACACAGUUAAAUUAAAUUAAAUGCAAAAAUAAAUUAAAGAAAUUAAAAACAA